GUCUGCUGCUAAGGUACACAAGUCACGGUGCUCAUUCCAGAUGCCAAGGCCAUUAGCAGGGAACUUCAGGCUCCUAUGUGGUCAAGGCAUAGUGGAGAAGUAAAUUCUCAUUCCCUGAUACUUGAACUCCCUCUGGGACAGAGCAAGCCUUGACAGAGGAUGGAGAGGGGGGAAUGUUGGAGAAGAACUAGGGAAUCCCUUGUUCAGCUCCGGUAAAGAGUCCAGCAUGGAGUUGGCUACUCUGAUUGAGUUCUCCCUUUUUUCUCUGGGUAUUCAGAAGGUGCUGGACUCCGGCUUCCUGGAGUAGUGACAGUGGGUAUUACAUGGAGCAGUGAUUUGGGCAAAACUGUAAGUUAGGGAGAAUUAGGUUUUGCUGCUCACAUAAAACUUUCUAUCAUAAUUUCUCCUUUAAAACUUCUUAUUAAAAAAACCUUUUUUUUCACCCAAAAAUCCUCCAUCACAAUAUCCACUGGUUUCAGGCCUCAUCUACUCCUCCUCCAUGGCCCUAGUACCCAACCACUGGGCUGGCCUUUCCCAAGCAGUGUUACUUCCUCUGGACCUUGCUCCCUACCUGACCCACACACUUGUCUUCACCUGAUCCCUCUCUAUCUCCCACCACAGUUAAGAUUCAGCUUUCAUAGAUACUGUCUCCGAAGGCCCUAUGAGCAAAACUCUGGGAGAUAGUGAAGGACAGGGAAGCCUGGCAGGCUGCAGUCCAUAGGGUGCCAAAGAAGCGGACACAACUCAGUGACUGAACAACAACUUGGGAAAACUUUAAUAACCAUAACCCACUAAACUGUUGUCAAGAUAUGUAUGUGUCUGGAUCUUGUCACUUACACAGCAAGGAACGUCAGGAGCGGUGACUGCCUUCGUUCCAUCUUUUCAAGGAUGUCUCUACAGCAAAUAGCAUCGAAAGAAAGAAAGAGCCCGGGGCACAGGGCAGAUGUGACUGGAGUGAUUUGCGCCCGGAUGCUUAGACUGGCCAUCUGCUCAGAGGCUGCUCAGGAAGACCCACCCAUGUGCUCUUCUGUCGCAGACUAGCCUGCUCUGCCUGCGGCUUGGGUUUCCAGGACCUCACCAACAACCAUCUCUUCCUGCCACUUUGAAUUAGAUUUCUCUGGAUAUCUCAGGUAAGUGGAUCCAUUCAUUGUAUGUCCUUUUGCAUCUGGCUUAUUUCAUUUAGAAUGAUGUCUUUAAUGUUCAUCCAUGUUGUAGCACGUGCCAGUUUCUUUCCUUUUUAAGGCUUAUCAAAUAUAAGGCUGGUAUUUGAUUUAUAUAAUUUUGUUUAUCCGUUCAUCUGGCAGUAGACACGAGAGUUUUCUAUGUUUUGAUUGCUGUGAAUAUAAUGCUGCUAUUAACAUGAGCAUGAAGAUAUCUAAGUCUCUGAUUUCACUUCUUUUGGAUAUAUAUCCCAAAGUGGAAUUGUUGGGUCAUGUGGUAACUCUUUAAUUUUUGGUGAAACAAGCAUACUAUGUUUCAUAAUGGCUGCACCAUUUUGCAUGCCCACAAGCAGGGCACAAUUUUCCCACAUCCUUGCCAAUAAUUCUUAUUUUCUCUUUUGUUUUUU